rnacentral:tRNA from 1 species
AUWUAUAUAGUUUAAAUUAAAAACAUUACAUUUUCAAUGUAAACAUAAAAUUUUAUUUUUAUAAAUA